rnacentral:rRNA from 1 species
UACGUAGGGUGCAAGCGUUGUCCGGAAUUAUUGGGCGUAAAGGGCUCGUAGGCGGUUUGUCGCGUCGGGAGUGAAAACAUCGGGCUUAACUCGAUGCUUGCUUUCGAUACGGGCAGACUUGAGGUAUGCAGGGGAGAAUGGAAUUCCUGGUGUAGCGGUGAAAUGCGCAGAUAUCAGGAGGAACACCGGUGGCGAAGGCGGUUCUCUGGGCAUUACCUGACGCUGAGACACGAAAGCGUGGGUAGCAAACAGG